rnacentral:lncRNA from 1 species
AAAAAAUCACCAGCAAUCAGAAAUAAAUUACUUGGUCCUGAAGCUGCCGGAGGACUAAGGUAUAAACAAAUCGAGAGCAAGCCAAAGAGAUUUGUCUGUGUGCAGACAAACUGCCAGCGAGGGCAGCCUCCUGCCGGCACGGAGCUCAGCAGCCCCCAGCCUCAGUAACUGCUACAGGGAGGACGAGGGCUCCGCUGCCCUCCACCAGCAGGAUUUUUGGACGGAUGCCACAGCAAUUGCAAGGAAAUGGGGUCAGGAAGCUAAGUUACUAAAACGUGAGCAUGUCUUCUGUGGAAAUUUCCCUUUUUUGAUAAGAACAAUCCACACCUGAUGUACCUCGCACCCUCAAAAGCAGGAGCACCUGAAAAGAAGCCCCCCCACAGCCCACGUCCCCAGGGGUGACCCCGAAGAUCACUCAGCUGGAGCUUGCCCUGCUCUGCAGCUCCCGGCUGGCCAGGAGGUGUCACGGCCGGCUCAGCUCUGCCUCCUGCUACUGCCUCCUGCUAGCAGCACCCGCUUCCCCAUUUAGCAGCUGAUGGUUUGUGGUGCAAGAAGCUCUGUAAGCUGAGGGCGCUGCGUCAGGCCUUACUGGUCAUCUUCUUUCCUGAGGUCUCCCCUGCCAGGGCUUACUGAAAGGUGCUUGGCACAGCGUCUCAUUUUCCAGGUGAACUCUACUGUGGAUUUACUCCCAGGUGUGAAGAAGGUCUCUACCAACAUUCAGUUUCACUUGGGACCACGGAGGAAGUGUUGGAGGCUAAUGGCAAAUUGGCCUCUGCUGGAGGCCCGAAUGCCACCAGCGUUACACACAGACCUCGCGGCAGCUCGCGUCCCAGCAGCUUCCCAAAGCUGUGCAGAAAUGCCUCCAGCCUAAUGGGCAUGGCUGCUGCUGAAAUUUUAACACCUGUGCUUCAGUCCUCCUCCACAUCCUCAAACUUCCCGUUUACUGGAACGAUUUCACUGCUCACAGAUCCCAAGCGCCCUCUGGUACUAUUUCAUUCUAGGUACAGUGCUCAUUUAUAACAAGUACCUUUCACGUGCACAGACACACUUGUUUCAGCUGAUAGACGCACGCAGUGCUUGAGACUUGGGUAAAAGUCAGCAGUCAUCCAAGCUUUAUGGAUAAAAACAAAUAUUGUUGAAGGCCUGGGGAAACGUGCUCUCCCAUAAGAUGUCCAGUACUUCUUGUUGCAGUCUGGGCUAAAAAUAUUACAAGUAUAGUUCGCAAUUUUGUCAUUCCCACUGCCCAUGGGAGCAGGAUGUGCAGAGGCGAGGUUCAACGGACAUGAAAAGUUCAUUCAGGAGUCUGUGUUUUUUACAUUUUUAAAGUGACCCCAGACACUGGGAGCCCUCCAUUCGGCUUCGACCAGAAGGUUUGACUUUUUCCUGACCUCUCCUUCAGUUCAUCAGGAAGCAGGAGUCAGAUCCUGACCAUCACCUUGAUCCAGCUUUUCUGCAAUUCA